rfam:Candidate division TM6 bacterium JCVI TM6SC1 contig_2_JCVI_TM6SC1_contig_464061..737650, whole genome shotgun sequence.
GCUGGCGUAGCUCAGUUGGUAGAGCAACUGAUUUGUAAUCAGUAGGUCGUUGGUUCAAGUCCAAUCGCCAGCU